AUGUCCGGUGCGCCCCCGGCGGCCCAUGAAAAUCCGGACGACCGAGUACCGUUCACGCCCGGUCGUACUCAUAACCGCAUCAGGUCUCCAAGGCGAACAGCCUCUGGCCAAUGGAACAAUGUAGGCAAGGGAAGUCGGCAAAACGGAUCCGUAACUUCGGGAAAAGGAUUGGCUCUGAGGACCGGGCUCGGGGGUCCCGGCCCCGAACCCGUCGGCUGUCGGCGGAUUGCUCGAGCUGCUCACGUGGCGAGAGCGGGUCGCCGCGUGCCGGCCGGGGGACGGACCGGGAAUCACCCCUUCGGGGGCUUUCCCCGAGCAUGA
rnacentral:rRNA from 1 species